rnacentral:pre_miRNA from 1 species
UCAUGCAGAUGAGCAAAGAAAGUGGUUUCCUGAGAUAGUAUCUACUCCUAGUGAAGAUACUGUGAA